GACGAGUCACUUAAGUUUUCUGAAUUCUCAUUUUCUUAUCUAUCAAUUAGGCAUAAGAAUAGCUUAUAAUGUUGUUACAAGAAUUAGAGAUGAUAUAUGUAAACUAUCUCAAAUAAAUAGUUUUUAUUCUAGAAAGAAUUUUCCCUAAUGAGUUUAAUCAUGUGUCCUAUUUUGUUCUAUUAACUGAUGAGCCAUUGUCUUAGGGAUUUGAAAGAAUGUGGCAUUAUUUUGAAAAGAAAAUAAGUCUUCUUUAGUUUUUUCCUACAUACAUACUUAUUUGGAAAUUAAUUAAGAGAUGGAGUAAAUCAGUACUAAAGAUGGCAACAUUAAGUGUGUUGGCUUUAGCAAGUCACGUCUGUCAACUGAAGACAGGCUGCUUACUAGAAUACACAGGCAUCUGCAGAAAGAACCAGAAGACAGUAGUGAAUAGUUUGACUGAACUAUACAGAAGCUUCCAGGGGAAUUUGUGGCAAGAUGAUGAUGAUGAUGAUGAUGAUGAUGAUGAUGAUAUGCUUUCUUUGUAGAUGUUCUAGCUUUCUUUAUACUAAUUCCCAAUUACCAUUGAUUAUCAUUGUCAAAAAUAGUAACAUACUUACUUAAUGGCUCUUUCAUGCUUACCAUUUUGACUAUUACAUAUGAGUGUUGAAUAAUCCGGCAUUGGCUUCACAAGCCAGAAGGACUCUCUUUUCUUCAGUGAAGAUGGAACUCAUUUCCUAGGGUAUAGUAAGAGACAUCUACCAGGACAGCCAAAUCAGCUCCAUCUAUCCUCGCCAUCAGUAAUGUGGUAGACAGCUGAGCUUUCAGGUGAUUAAUUAACUAAUUAAUUUGUCAAUCUAAUAUUUUGUGAGUGAUUGAUAUAUAAGAGCCCCAUGCCAGAUGUUACCAGUAUACAGAAAAGAGUCAAACAGAUUCCUGCUCUCAGUGUAUUCACCGUUUAGCUCUUGACCACUCAGACCUAACCUUUGAAUCCUUUCCCAUCUACUUCUCUGACUUGAUUUGCAGUGUAGAAAUAGAAAUAAAUAUAAGGUAACCAAGGAUUCAGUCAUGAAUGAAUUUCUAAUCCAUUCACACUACCCAAGACACUUACGCAGGAUUAUCCAUCACGAGUCAUUCUAUAGUCCUAAUCACAUCGACUGCUGAAGGAAGCCUUGUAUUUAUUACAUUUUUCCUAAAUGGAAAACAGCUGUGAUAAAUUAAUCUGUUCAGCAGAAAUCUCAUAUUAGGAAACAUAGUCUCAUAUUUCUCAUAUAGGAAUAUCUAUAUCCUGAUACAGAGUUUUCUCAACCACCAGUGUCUCCAACUGUGAAUAAUAGCUUCCUCUACCUUACCUGUGUCUUAGAAUAUGGCUGGUUCACUUGGCCUUUUCUACUCCUCUGUCAUACAGCAGACUACAAACAUUUAAAUGCACAUAUUCAAAAAAAAAGUCACUCAGAGGCAGUAAAGUCAGCCAUAAUAGAACACAUAAUUACAAGGCCCACUUAAAGAGCUGUAUCCAGGGCAUAAAUCACCUUCCUUAGUCCUAAUGCAGAUAUUACUGCUAAUGCCACUAAUUCUAUCUCAGAAGUCACAUCCUGUGUUCUGAUUCUAGAAGAACUAUUUAAGAUUCUAAAUUGGCUCCCCAAAUGGAUUUUCUUUAUUAGGAUACAUUUUGCUACCGAAAGAGAAGUUUCCUGUCCUUUUGUUGUUUUCUCAUUAUUGACAGAUAUUUUGACAAAUUCAGAUAUCUGAGGCUGCUAAGUUAAGGCUUAAACAUUGUACAAUUGUGAUUAAAGAAAUGCCAUAUUGAUUGCUUUUCUUCCCUGAACCUACCCCCAGGUCAUUGCAAAGUGAUUUUGUUUACUAAUUUAUGUUUUUCCUUUCUGGUCAGUAAUCCUGGUAGACUAUAUUUGUUAUACGAAACAAUCCAUCCCAGAUAUCUUAAGGAGAGAGGAACAGAAUUUUCUAACAGCAAACCUCCCAAGCCACAUGGAACUACAUUGCUCCAGCCAACUCAGCAUUCAGCAGCCACCACUCUGAUCGGUCAGCAGUUUUCAACAUCAAGGUGA